UACGAAGGGGGCUAGCGUUGCUCGGAAUCACUGGGCGUAAAGGGUGCGUAGGCGGUCGACUAAGUCUGGCGUGAAAGCUCUCGGCUAAACCGGGAGAGGUCGUUGGAUACUGGUUGACUAGAGGACGGUAGAGGCGUGUGGAAUUCCGGGUGUAGUGGUGAAAUGCGUAGAGAUCCGGAGGAACACCAGUGGCGAAGGCGACACGCUGGGCCGUACCUGACGCUGAUACGCGACAGCAUGGGGAGCGAACGGG
rnacentral:rRNA from 1 species